rnacentral:rRNA from 1 species
GAUGAACGCUGGCGGCGUGCCUAAUACAUGCAAGUCGAGCGAACGGACGAGAAGCUUGCUUCUCUGAUGUUAGCGGCGGACGGGUGAGCAACACGUGGAUAACCUACCUAUAAGACUGGGAUAACUUCGGGAAACCGGAGCUAAUACCGGAUAAUAUUUUGAACCGCAUGGUUCAAAAGUGAAAGACGGUCUUGCUGUCACUUAUAGAUGGAUCCGCGCUGCAUUAGCUAGUCGGUAAGGUAACGGCUUACCAAGGCAACGAUGCAUAGCCGACCUGAGAGGGUGAUCGGCCACACUGGAACUGAGACACGGUCCAGACUCCUACGGGAGGCAGCAGUAGGGAAUCUUCCGCAAUGGGCGAAAGCCUGACGGAGCAACGCCGCGUGAGUGAUGAAGGUCUUCGGAUCGUAAAACUCUGUUAUUAGGGAAGAACAUAUGUGUAAGUAACUGUGCACAUCUUGACGGUACCUAAUCAGAAAGCCACGGCUAACUACGUG